rnacentral:rRNA from 1 species
AUUUGGGGGAUGUAUAACUUCGGUUAGCUAUACUGGGUCUUCAAUAAUUGUUUUUAGUAUAACUAUUAAUUAUAAUUUGGAUUGAUAACUUGUUUUUUUAACGAAAGACAAGUAGUAUGUAUAAUUAGAUAAUAAAUCUUCUAAUUACUUAACUGGAUAUUUUUUAUUCAGGCGGUUGGUAUAGGAGCGGCUUUGCCGAGUAAAGUUCUAGAUAUGAAACUGAUUAUGACAAUUUUAUUAUCUAUGUGUCUUGACCAAAUUACGUGCCAGCAGUCGCGGUAAUACGUAGAAGACUAGUGUUAUUCAUCUUUAGUAGGUUUAAAGGGUACCUAGACGGUAAAAUUAAUCUUUUGGAUAUGUUUUUACUAGAGUUAUAUAUGAGAAGGGGAGUAUUUAUGGUGUAGAGUUGAAAUUCGUUGAUCCCAUAACGACUGGUAACGGCGAAAGCAACCUUUUAUGUAAUAACUGACGUUGAGGGACGAAGGCUCGGGUCACGAACAGGAUUAGAUACCCUAGUAGUCCAAGCAGAGAAUUAUGAAUGCCAUAGAUUAGAUAUUUUUAGUCUAUAAAUGAAAGUGUAAGCAUUUCACCUCAAGAGUAAUGUGGCAACGCAGGAACUGAAAUCAUUAGACCGUUUCUGAAACCAGUAGUGAAGUAUGUUAUUUAAUUCGUAGGCACGCGAAAAACCUUACCACAAUUUGAAUAUUAUCUUUAUAAGAUAUUACAAGCGUUGCACGGCUGUCUUCAGUUAAUGUCGUGAGAUAUUGGUUAAUUCCUUUAAAUUAACGGAAGCCCCUUGCUUUAUUUGCUUAUUACUAUUUUACGAAUUUAACAAUAAAAUAUUAUAAAGAAAUAAAAGCAGUUCACCCUAUUAUAUUGGAUAUGAUAACAGGACCAAGACA